rnacentral:rRNA from 1 species
CCGGCUGUCGAGGGGAGCCCAGGAGCUGGUUAGAGCAGUUGCGCGGACGAGUAAGGGAUUCGUUCUCUGCGUCUGGUCUGUCUGUCUCUUUCCAAAUCGGCGGGUUUGCUUCCUCCGGCCGAGGAACUGUGCGAGCUGGGUUUCUUUUUAAGAAAUCCYUCGUCCAUGAACGCGCCCAUGAUCUGUCGGAGCGGGUCGAUAAAACCCCACGGGUGGCUGCGAAGUUUGCAUGCGCCAGUCCUAGUUGAUUGCGCGUAUGUAGCUUUUGCGUCAGCCGCCGUCGGACAGGGUGUGGACUCCCGCUAAGGGGUGCUGGGGGUCAGCGGCGAGUAGGUCGGUUUCCCACCCGACCCGUCUUGAAACACGGACCAAGAAGUCUAACGUGUGGGCGAGUCUUUGGGGCAAAUAAUAACCCUAUAAAGGCGAAAUUAAAGUGAAGAAUUUUUUAUUAAAUUCUGGGUGGGAUCCGUCGUCUAAAGGCGAUGGCGCACCACCGGCCCGUCCAACGAUCGCAUUGCCGGUCGGGCGGAGCAAGAGCCCACACGUUGGGACCCGAAAGAUGGUGAACUAUGCCUGGGCAGGACGAU